GAUGAACGCUGGCGGCGUGCCUAAUACAUGCAAGUCGAGCGAACAGACGAGGAGCUUGCUCCUCUGACGUUAGCGGCGGACGGGUGAGUAACACGUGGAUAACCUACCUAUAAGACUGGGAUAACUUCGGGAAACCGGAGCUAAUACCGGGUAACAUGUUGAACCGCAUGGUUCAACAGUGAAAGACGGUCUUGCUGUCACUUAUAGAUGGAUCCGCGCCGCAUUAGCUAGUUGGUAAGGUAACGGCUUACCAAGGCAACGAUGCGUAGCCGACCUGAGAGGGUGAUCGGCCACACUGGAACUGAGACACGGUCCAGACUCCUACGGGAGGCAGCAGUAGGGAAUCUUCCGCAAUGGGCGAAAGCCUGACGGAGCAACGCCGCGUGAGUGAAGAAGGUCUUCGGAUCGUAAAACUCUGUUAUUAGGGAAGAACAAAUGUGUAAGUAACUAUGCACGUCUUGACGGUACCUAAUCAGAAAGCCACGGCUAACUACGUG
rnacentral:rRNA from 1 species